AUAUUAAUAUAUUUAGUUUAUAAAAUAUAUUUAUUAUAAAUAUAUAUUUUAUUUAUAUUUAAUUUAUAAUUAAAAUA
rnacentral:tRNA from 1 species